rnacentral:rRNA from 1 species
GACGAACGCUGGCGGCGUGCUUAACAUAUGCAAGUCGAACGGUGAAGGGGCCUGCUUUUGUGGGCCCUGGAUGAGUGGCGAACGGGUGAGUAACACGUGAGUAACCUGCCCCCUUCUUCUGGAUAACCGCAUGAAAGUGUGGCUAAUACGGGAUAUUCUGGGUCUGUCGCAUGAUGGGUCUGGGAAAGAUUGCGCCUUUGGGUGUUUUUGGUGGGGGAUGGGCUCGCGGCCUAUCAGCUUGUUGGUGGGGUGAUGGCCUACCAAGGCGGUGACGGGUAGCCGGCCUGAGAGGGUGGACGGUCACACUGGGACUGAGACACGGCCCAGACUCCUACGGGAGGCAGCAGUGGGGAAUAUUGCACAAUGGGCGCAAGCCUGAUGCAGCGACGCCGCGUGAGGGAUGGAGGCCUUCGGGUUGUAAACCUCUUUCGCCAGUGAAGCAGGCCUGCUCCUUGUGGGUGGGUUGACGGUAGCUGGAUAAGAAGCGCCGGCUAACUACGUG